rnacentral:rRNA from 1 species
GAUGAACGCUAGCGGGAGGCUUAACACAUGCAAGUCGAGGGGCAGCAUAGGGUAGCAAUACUCUGAUGGCGACCGGCAAACGGGUGAGUAACGCGUAUGCAACCUACCCUGUACAGGGGGAUAACCCGGAGAAAUUCGGACUAAUAUCCCGUAAUAAUAUCCGGAGGCAUCUUUGGAUAUUUAAAGUUUCGACGGUACGGGAUGGGCAUGCGUAACAUUAGCUGGUUGGUAAGGUAACGGCUUACCAAGGCUAUGAUGUUUAGGGGUCCUGAGAGGGUGGUCCCCCACACUGGUACUGAGACACGGACCAGACUCCUACGGGAGGCAGCAGUGAGGAAUAUUGGUCAAUGGGCGCAAGCCUGAACCAGCCAUCCCGCGUGCAGGAAGACGGCCCUAUGGGUUGUAAACUGCUUUUCCAGGGAGAGAAACUUACGCACGUGUUGCGUGACUGACGGUACCCUGGAAUAAGCAUCGGCUAACUCCGUG